ensembl:lncRNA
GUGGUGCUGGGGUGUAGGUCUACUGAAUGGUGCUGUAGGUCUACUGAAUGGUGCUGGGCUGUAGGUCUACUGAACGGUGCUGGGCUGUAGGUCUACUGAAUGGCACUGGGCUGUAGGUCUACUGAAUGGUGCUGGGCUGUAGGUCUCCUGAAUGGUGCUGGGCUGUAGGUCUACUGAAUGGUGCUGGGCUGUAGGUCUACUGAACGGUGCUGGGCUGUUGGUCUACUGAAUGGUGAUGGGCUGUAGGUCUCCUGAAUGGUGCUGGGCUGUAGGUCUACUGAAUGGUGCUGGGCUGUAGGUCUCCUGAAUGGCGCUGGGCUGUAGGUCUACUGAAUGGUGCUGGGCUGUAGGUCUACUGAAUGGUGCUGGGC